rnacentral:rRNA from 1 species
ACAUCUUCCGUAGGGUGAACCUGCGGAGGGAUCAUUACACAAAUAUGAAGGCGGGCUGGAACCUCUCGGGGUUACAGCCUUGCUGAAUUAUUCACCCUUGUCUUUUGCGUACUUCUUGUUUCCUUGGUGGGUUCGCCCACCACUAGGACAAACAUAAACCUUUUGUAAUUGCAAUCAGCGUCAGUAACAAAUUAAUAAUUACAACUUUCAACAACGGAUCUCUUGGUUCUGGCAUCGAUGAAGAACGCAGCGAAAUGCGAUAAGUAGUGUGAAUUGCAGAAUUCAGUGAAUCAUCGAAUCUUUGAACGCACAUUGCGCCCUUUGGUAUUCCAAAGGGCAUGCCUGUUCGAGCGUCAUUUGUACCCUCAAGCUUUGCUUGGUGUUGGGCGUCUUGUCUCUAGCUUUGCUGGAGACUCGCCUUAAAGUAAUUGGCAGCCGGCCUACUGGUUUCGGAGCGCAGCACAAGUCGCACUCUCUAUCAGCAAAGGUCUAGCAUCCAUUAAGCCUUUUUUUCAACUUUUGACCUCGGAUCAGGUAGGGAUACCCGCUGAACUUAAGCAUAUCAAAAAACCGGGAAGAAAAAC